rnacentral:rRNA from 1 species
GACGAACGCUGGCGGCGUGCUUAACACAUGCAAGUCGAACGGAAAGGCCCUUCGGGGUCCUCGAGUGGCGAACGGGUGAGUAACACGUGGGUGAUCUGCCCUGCACUUUGGGAUAAGCCUGGGAAACUGGGUCUAAUACCGAAUAGGACCACGCGCUUCAUGGUGUGUGGUGGAAAGCUUUUGCGGUGUGGGAUGGGCCCGCGGCCUAUCAGCUUGUUUGUGGGGUAAUGGCCUACCAAGGCGACGAAGGGUAGCCGGCAUGAGAGGGUGACCGGCCACAAUGGGACUGAGAGACGGCCCAGACUCCUACGGGAGGCAGCAGUGGGGAAUAUUGCACAAUGGGCGCAAGCCUGAUGCAGCGACGCCGCGUGAGGGAUGACGGCCUUCGGGUUGUAAACCUCUUUAACCAGGGACGAAGCGUAAGUGACGGUACCUGGAGAAGAAGCACCGGCCAACUACGUG